CAAAUGCGAUACGCAAUGCGAAUUGCAGAAUUCCGCGAGUCAUCAGAUCUUUGAACGCAAAUGGCGCUCGGUUAAAAAAUACCCGAGCAUGUUUGUUUCAGUGUGUUCGGAAUCAUAUAUCUAAAUGCGAUUGAAUUUAACUAUUCUCUCGUUAAAUAUGAAAGCGCUGAAUUGUUCAGUGCCGACCGAAGUAGUCACUUCUUAGCAAGUGAUCUCGGUUGCGCAUAACUGGGAAUUCAUUUAAAGCGUCUUUUUAAUAUAUUUAUUAUUCUCCACUCCACACCUGAAAUCAAGCAAGAUCACCCGCUGAACUUAA
rnacentral:misc_RNA from 1 species